CGCCGAGGUGCGCGGAGUGGAGCUCUGGGCUGCGGAGGGGAGCCGAGCCGAGUGGCUGGGCGGGCCUGGCCAGGCCAGCGGAGCGGAGACGUCGGUCGAGCGGCGGCGAACAUGCGCUUUUGACACAUUGAAGGCUUUCUUGAUCAUGGAUGGUGAAGAUAUACCAGAUUUUUCAAGUUUAAAGGAGGAAACUGCCUACUGGAAGGAACUUUCCUUGAAGUAUAAACAAAGCUUCCAGGAGGCUCGGGAUGAGCUAGUGGAAUUCCAGGAGGGGAGCAGGGAGCUGGAAGCAGAGCUGGAGGCACAGUUAGUACAGGCCGAGCAGAGGAACAGAGACCUGCAAGCUGACAACCAAAGACUGAAGUACGAAGUGGAAGCGUUGAAGGAGAAGCUGGAGCACCAGUACGCGCAGAGCUACAAGCAGGUGUCGGUGCUGGAGGAUGACCUGAGUCAGACCCGGGCCAUAAAGGAGCAGCUGCACAAGUACGUGCGGGAGUUGGAACAGGCCAACGACGACCUGGAGCGUGCCAAGCGGGCAACAAUAGUUUCACUGGAAGACUUUGAACAAAGGCUAAAUCAGGCCAUCGAACGCAAUGCAUUUUUAGAGAGUGAGCUUGACGAGAAGGAAUCCUUGUUGGUGUCCGUCCAACGGUUAAAGGAUGAAGCAAGAGAUUUAAGACAAGAACUGGCAGUCCGGGAAAGACAACAGGAGGUAACCAGAAAGUCGGCCCCCAGUUCUCCGACCCUUGAUUGUGAAAAGAUGGACUCUGCGGUCCAGGCGUCACUUUCUUUGCCAGCCACUCCUGUUGGCAAGGGCACGGAGAACAGUUUUCCUUCACCAAAAGCUAUACCAAACGGUUUUGGUGCCAGUCCGCUUACUCCUUCUGCUCGGAUCUCCGCGCUCAACAUCGUGGGGGACCUCUUACGGAAAGUCGGGGCUUUAGAAUCCAAAUUAGCAGCUUGCAGGAAUUUUGCAAAGGACCAAGCAUCGCGGAAAUCCUAUAUUUCAGGGAAUGUUAACUGUGGGGUCAUGAAUAGUAACGGCACGAAGUUCUCUCGAUCAGGACAUACGUCUUUCUUUGACAAAGGGCAAGAAAAGGUCAUAUUUCCCACGUUGUUCAUGGAACAUAAAUGAUUUUAUACACAUGUAUGUGCAUGUGUGUGUAUAGCCCCCACAUUCUGGAUUCAGCUACACAGAAGGCAGUAAACGGCUUUGACCCAGCGCCACCACCUCCUGGUCUGGGCUCCUCGCGCCCGUCGUCAGCACCGGGUAUGCUGCCUCUCAGUGUUUGAGUGCCCGGCCUCCAGGUGGGGGCUCCUGCCCUCCUCCAGCAGCCCAGGACACCCACGCCUCACCCCUCGGUGCCUGGGCCCAGCCUGGGCCCCUGCGUCCGCCUCCCCGUGGCCGGCAGAGGGCAGGCUGCAUGUGGUGGCGGCUGCCGGGCCCCGCCCAGCCCCAGGAGUCUGCGCGCUAUCAAUGCUGGCUAUUUUCUCUUCUCGCCGUGGUGCCGUUGGUUUCACAUGAUUGCACUUUUGUGGGUCACAAGGUGAUACGUACGUGUAUUCCUUGGUCACUGGAUGCAGAAGUACCCAUUCGUCACACCUGCCUCAUAGCUCCCACCCUGCUGUACCGAUAAGAUUUAGUUGUGUUUAAGACAUGGCAGACCUUCUAGAAGUUCUCCCCCAGAUCAGGUCAACACAUGCCCUCCUCCUGAGCUCCCGCCCAAGCAUCUUCAGUGCUCACAAUCAUGUGUCCCCCAGCCCCACUCCCCACAGUUUGGCCUGUUGCUGGCACAGAGUCAGGAAGGUCACUGAAUUCGGGAACAUUUUCUGCACCUUCUGAUUUUACUUUAGCAGUUAUCAUUCCAUAGACUUGCCUCCCGGAGAGCGAGACGCCUGUCUGAUCCGCAGGGAGCAGGAGCCUCUGGGCCAGGGUGCCCACAGCGCGGGGCCUCUGCGCGGUCUCCUCCUCCGCAUGGCUCCGGGUGAGGGCGGGGGCAACCUCCUGGCCAGCUUUCUGGUCCUUCAGUUAAGUGACAUCUUUCAGAGCGUUUUGUUUUGUCCUCUGAGGGCCCGUGCGGUCGUGUUAGGAAAGGUUGCGCACCCGAGUCGGGGCAGACCGGCCGCCGUGGUGGUUCUGUGCGUCCUUUGGUUCCUCUCAUGCUGCAUUACUGUUUACAUUUGUGUUACUGUACAUAGGUUUGUAAACAUUACUGCCCGAGGUAUUUGUAUAUAACCUGGGCUUUGUAGCUUUUAUUUAUUCAGAAUUCAUAUGGCAUGUUAACGACUGACGCUGUCCGACUCGGGCGGCCGUAUAGGAUCAUCAUGUGGUUAAAAGAGAAAAAAAUACUUCCCCUCAAAAAAAUCUUUUAAUGUGGAAACAAUAAAUUUCACAGAAAACAAA